rnacentral:piRNA from 1 species
UGAAACCGGCUUUUACUCUAA